AUAGCCAAAAAAUACACCCUAGACCUAAGAGACUAAGCAUCAACCAUAUUCAUUCCGAACAAACAACAACAUCCUUUCCUCUUUCACCCUCACAAAACCAACGAAGCUUCUUCAUUCCAAAGAACCUAGACCUUAACCGAAGACCCUCAUUGUAGCAACAGCCGAUUUCGACUCCUCUGCUAUUUCAUUCGAGAUGUUGCCUUGUCGGAAUUGGUCACCGACGGGUGAGGACGCUGCCAUCAGCAUCAACGGACAGAGCUAAUGCCCAGAACCUGAAAAAGGAGAGCCAUUUUUGAUAAAAUUCGAGGGACUCUUCAGCUUCUUCUUCUGCCGGAACAACAAAUGGAGGUCGACUGAGCCGAUUCGAGGUCAGGAUCCUAGUUCCAAUCGAGGUUUCAAUUUUGGUCCAUUUAAUAGUGUUUAAUUCCAUUUAUACGAAGGUUCAAUUGAGAUUACUUCUUCCAUUUUGUUUUGUUUUGUUACAAUGUUAUGAAUGUUUGGUUUACAAUGUUUAGGAAUGUUUAGUUCUAUUACAAUGUUUAUUGUAUUAAUGUGUUUUUUGUUCCGAUUUGUUGAAUCUUUUGGCUGAGUGUGGUCCGGUCUGCCUUUCGAUUUUUUUAUUUUAGUCAAUUCUUCUACUCGUUUCUCUUCAAAGUUCAGUCGAAUGCUUCAUCUUGCUUUCCUCUUAUGCAGCUUCCACUGUUUUAAUAUGUGCCUAAGCUCCUUCUGCCUUGAAAUUUAGAUUAAAGCUUUAACUUUGGUCCCAUAGUAGUUCGAUUAGUUUGGGUGUUAGUGGAGUGCUCAACAAAGUUAUUUGUAUGAGAACAUUUUCAUGUUUCCAGCUUGUUGAAUUUCAAUAGUUUAGGUUGUUUUCUUGAAUACUCAAAAGGUACUGUUGUGUGGCAAAGAGGAGUUUCUCUUAGUUUUGGGUAAAUUUGCUACAUGUACAUAAUAUGGAUAUAGAUAGUAAGAAUGGCAGUGAAUCCGAAAAGAGGAAUAAUGAAGAAGUCACAAAUUGUCAAUCACCAAAUAUUUCCUCGGGAUGGCAGAUAAAUGGGAGAAGUUCGACUAAUGUAUCUAUGGGGAUGGUUGAUUCAUUUUGCUCUACUACUUGGGAUCAAUCUAACAAUUCGCCGAGCUUAGGCUUUUAUGAUGCUUUCUUUCAAAUAAAUUUCACAACUCAUGUACCUUUAAAAUCAUCUCAAAGUAGUUUAGGAAAGUAACUUAUGAUAUUCGGAGUUUGCUUUAGGCACGUUUAAUAUACUAUCGUGAUUGUGGAGACGUUCGCGUGACAUGACUACGAUUUCUGAAAACAAAACAGGAGUAUGCAUUUGCGCAACUUUGGCCAAACUUUUCUUAAUAAUAAUAAAGUGUUAUUAAUUGUGGACACAUUCUUGUGACAUGAUUUUUGAUGUACCAAAUAAAUGGAUACACGUACGCGUGACCCGUUUUAAGAUAUUUUAAUUAAAAAGAAGCAAAUGCACAUAGGUUAUAAAAUCAGCAAUUAGAUAAUAUAACAAGCCAAGUAUGGUCAAAGCGACCAUGCUAAAAUCAGAGAACUCGAGAGUGCCUAACACCUUCUCCCGGGUUAACAGAAUUCCUUACCUAGAUUUUUGUUUUCGCAGACCGUAAAAAGAGUCAAUUUCCUCGAUUCAAGAUUUUAAACUGGUGACUUGUGAUACCAUAAUUAUCCCAAGUGGAAUAUAUGAAUUUUAAAUAAAUAAUCAUGUUUCGAUUGUCACUUUAAUUGUAAAAACUCCCUUAUACCUUUCUCGGGGUAGUAAAAAGGAGUUGUGACCCUAUUAUUUUGGGGAGACCAUUCCUAGCCACAGGAAAAGCACUAAUGGAUUCGGAACAGAAUAAGAUCAAAUUUUGUGUGAAUGAUGAAAGGGUCACAUUUCAAGCAAGCAAGGCUAUGAAACUACCACAUAAAUAUGAAAGCAUUUUGGUGAUGAUGUUGUUGAUGAAGUGGAAAAUGUGUUUGAAAUGAAGAUGGAAGGACAAUGACUCGAUGAGGCAUUGGCAGCUAUUUUGGUGAAAUUUGAUGGUGAAGAUAUGGAUGGGUGUAUGGAAUCAGUCAAUGCAUUCGAGGGGCUUGGGUCCUACACUUAUACUCCGGCAAAGCUGUCUCUCGACUUGGAGAAUAGAGCCACUCCUCCCACAAAGCCCUCUAUUAUUGAGACACCGCAACUAGAGCUCAAACCACUUCUACCACACUUGAGGUAUAAAUUUCUUGGCUCAAAUGAUACUUUUCAGGUAAUCGUUUCUUAUUUGUUGAAUGAUGUGUAGGCAGAACAAUUGUUAGAGGUCUUGAAGGAGCAUAGGCAAGCUAUUGGGUGGACAAUUGUGGUACAUCUAAGGGAUUCAUGUCGGAAUUUGCGAACACAAGAUCCAAUUGGAGAAUGAGACUAAACAAAGUGUGAAACAUCAAUGAUGGUUGAACCCAUCCAUUUAAGAAGUGGUAAAGAUAGAAAUCAUCAAGUGGUUGAAUGCCGGGGUAGUCUACCCCAUUGCCGAUAGUUCUUGGGUGAGACUGUGCAAUGUGUGGCGAAAAAAGGAGGACAUGACCGUGAUUUAAAAAAAUAAAAAUAAGCUCAUCCCAACAAAAACAGUGACCGGAUGGAGGGUGUGUAUGGAUUAUCAAAAGCUCAACAGUGCCACGUGCAAAGACCAUUUCACUGUGCCUUUUAUUGAUCAAAUGCUUGAUCGACUAGCGAGAAGAUCAUUCUAUUGCUUUCUUGAUGGUUAUUUCGGUUACCAACAAAUCAACAUAGCAUUGGAGGACCAAGAGAAGACAACAUUCACUUGUCUUUAUGGAACUUUUGCCUUUAGCCGGAUGUCGUUUGGUUUGUGCAACGCUCCGGCUACUUUUCAAAGAUGCAUGAUGUCCAUCUUCUCCGACAUGGUGGAGGAUUUUCUAGAGGUUUUCAUGGACAAUUUUUCGGUGGUAAGUGACUCUUUUGAGCAUUGUCUUAACAGUCUUAGACAAGUGCUCAAGAGAUAUGAGGAGACCAACCUUGUGCUCAAUUGGAAGAAAUGCCAUUUCAUGGUGGAUGAAGGCAUUGUAUUGGGGCAUAAAAUUUCGAAACAUGGCAUAGAGGUUGAAUGGGAAAAGAUCGAUAUCAUUUCCAAGCUUCCUCCACCUACCUCAGUUAAAUGUGUCCUAAGUUUCUUGGGGCAUGCCGGAUUUUAUAGGUGUUUCAUCAAGGAAUUUUCUAAGAUUGCAAAUCCUAUGUUCAAACUCCUUGAGAAUAUGCAAAAUUUGUGUUUGACGAGAAAUGCCUCAAAGCAUUUGAGGAAUUGAAGCAAAAGCUUACCAUGACACCUAUUAUUUUCACACCUAAUUGCUCUCUUCCAUUCGAACUUAUGUGUGACGCCAGUGGUGUAGCUAUUGGAGCAGUGCUUGACCAUCAUCACAACAAGGUUCUUCACCCGAUCUAUUAUGCAAACAAGAAACUCAAUGGAGCACAAAUGAAUUAUACGGUGACUGAGCAAGAACUUCUUGCCAUUGUCUAUGCCUUUGAGAAAUUCCGGGCUUACUUGUUGGGAACCAAGGUGAUAGAUUACACAGAUCAUGCUGCUCUUCGCUAUCUUAUGACAAAGAAGGAUGCAAAGCCUAUGUGUUGCAAGAGUUUGACUUCGAAGAAAAAGAUAGAAAAGGAACGGAAAAUCAAGUGGCGGAUCAUUUAUCAAGGCUUGAAGAGGCAGGGAGACCAAAGGGAGAUCUUAAAAUCAACUAUGCUUUCCCAGAUGAGCACAUAUUGGCAUUAUCUAGCACUUUUUCUCCUUGGUAUGACGAUAUUGUUAACUACUUGGUUAGUGAUGUUAUUUCAGAUGGAUUAGAAACCUAUCAGAAGAAUAAUUUUUUGAGAGAUUAUCGGCAAUAUUACUGGGAAGAACCAUUCUUGUUCCGUGUUUGUGCUGAUAACAUCAUCUGAAGGUGUGUUCCAGAAGAGGAGAUUAUGCCAAUUCUAAAGGCAUGCCAUGACUCGUCGGUUAGGGAUCACCAUGGGGGAAAUCGAACAAAGGCUAAGGUGCUUGAAUGUGGUAAUUAUUGGCUGUCGAUUUAUCAUGAUGCUAAUCAAAUGGUCAAGGCUUGUGACCAAUGCCAAAGGCAAGGAUCAGUCUCCAAGAGGCAUGAAAAGCCAAUGCACUUUAUGAUGGAGAUAGAGAUUUUCGAUGUGCGGGGAAUUGAUUUUAUGGGUCCCUUUCUAAACUCUUGUGGUAUGAAGUAUAUCUUGGUGGCUAUGGACUAUGUCUCCAAUUGGGUUGAAGCAAUUUCUUUACCAAAAAACGAGGCAAGGAGUGUGACCACAUUCUUGAGUUUUGGAACCAGUGCAAGUAUUCAUUGGAUAUAUUGUCAAAAGCUAGUCUUUCUGCAUGCAAACCGGAAUAAGAUCUAAAUUCACACGAUUUGGAACUCCUAGAGCCAUUCUUAAUGAUGGCGGGUCUAAUUUCUAUAGCAAGGAUUUCACGGGUCUACUAGAGAAAUAUGGUGUCAAGCAUAAAGUGGCCACACCGUAUCACCCCCAAUCAAGUGGCCAAGUAGAAGUUUCCAACCGGGAGAUAAAAGAACAUUCUAGCAAAGACUGUUAACGCAAACAAGACCAAUUGGUCAAGAAAGCUAGAUGAUGCAUUGUGGGUAUACCGCAGGACGUACAAAACUCCUAUUGGCACUUCUCCUUAUCGGUUAGUCUUUGGCAAGUCUUGUCAUCUACCCAUAGAAAUGGAGCACAAAGUCAUGUGGGCUUUAAAAAGGUUGCACUUGGAUUGGGCUGAAACUGCAAAUUUGAGGUUAACACAACUCAAUGAAAUAGAUGAAUUCCAUUUCUAUGCAUAUGAAAGUGCAGUUGUGUACAAAGAAAGGAUGAAGUUUGUCCACGACAAAAAGAUCUUGAAAAGGGAGUUCAAGUCAGGUGACUUGGUUUUGCUCUUCAACUCAAGGCUCAAAUUGUUUUCGGGCAAGCUCAAAUCGAAAUGGUUCGGUCCGUUCCAAUUGGUCAAUGUAUCUCCUUUUGGAGCUGUGGAACUAGAAUCGGAGGAUGGUCUCCGAACCUUCAAAGUAAAUGGCUAGCGAGUCAAGCACUACUUGGGAACAUAUGGAGAAAAACACUUGGUGGAGCAGUUGGCUCUCAAAGAUGGUCCAUGCCCGACCAAUGAGUGAACCCAAAGAAAUGCUAACUUCGUCGUGCCGCGAUGCUAAAUCAAGCGCUUCAUGGGAGGCAACCCAUGUGUGGUAGCACCCUUUUAUCCUUUAUAUUUUAAAUUUUUGUUAGAUAAAUUUAAUCCAGCAAUUUUAAGUGUGUGUUAGAGUGCAGGGGAUUUAAAACAUCAUAACAUUGGGUAAAAUUGUGUGUGAAAGGAAAGAAAAGUCACCAUGGGACGUUUGCUACAAAUAUGCGGUCGCAUUUUAACUAUGCAGACCGCAUAGUGGUUGCAGACCCAGACAAUUUGUUUGGCAAAAUUUGGUGGUAAGAAUGCGGCGAGGAAGUGCACUUUACGGACCCCAUUUCAAUUAUACGAUAGCAUAAGUGCCCCGCAUUUUGUUCUCGAGCAACUCAAGAUGAACCCACCGCAUAACACUUAUGCGAUUGCAUAGUGUUAUGCAGUGACUUAUCCAUCGCGAACUUCACAGGUAAGUCCCCUCGCAUAUUACCGGCAUUCACACAUUGGAAAACAAAAGAAUUUUUUUAUCAGAAAGAAAACAAAAUUAAACGAAAGAAAAAGAGAAGGGAAAAUAGCAAGUUGAAUCAAAGUGAGUAAAAAACACUUGUGAAUUCAUCUCCCAAGCAUGCUCAUUACUCCAUCACUAGUAUGUUCUUCUCUCCCGAUUUAUUCCAUGUAAAUUUUAGUUUAAAUUUUGUUGUGUUUUUCUUAUUUUUUGUUUUCUAUAGCUUUUCUUAUUUUUUAUUUGUUUUAUGAGGAUAUCUGUUCAUAAUGUGAGGGGGUUCUUGGAUAAGUAGCUAAAUUGGGGGAUGUUGGGUAGAGAAACUAGGUUUGCCAUUGUUGAGGGUGGAGUUCAAAAUGUGAGAACGAUGACUUCUCCGGACCGCAUAGUCGAUUUGCGGUCCAUAUUGUUUCCGCAAAAUAAACCUUAGGUAGCCUGAAGAAGAUGACAAAAUGCGGCUACAUUGCAAUCGCAUAAGUAAUAUGCAGACCGCAAAGUCAUCGCAUACUGAAACAGUUUCAUGCCUUUUGUAGCUUGUGGCAAUUCUGCCAUCUCUAAUCCAUCUUUGUGGUGGACUUUGCAAUCUCAUAGUGUGAAGGUACUUCCCAUUCAUUCAAUUAUGCGAUAGUUAUGUGAACCGCAUAAUGGAUAUGCGAUCGCAUAAUUACAUACCUUCAAUAGAUAGAAAGUUUGCGACAAGUUUGAGGUCCGCAUAGUUGUUAUGCGACCGCAUAACCUGUUGCAUGAUCGCAUAACCUGUUGGAUACUUGUAAUUUUUUGUACGUUUUCUCCUAUUGUCUGCUAUGUUGCUCACACUUCAUUUCUUUGCAGAUAUGGCUCCUAAGAAACAUGUAUCUUCUUCUAGAAAAAAAGGCCUCCUCCAGUCGUCAAGCACAACAAGCAAAACAUUCAUGACCAGACCUUGUUGUUGCACAUCCCUGCCAGUCUGAUGAGAAGCACACCUUGCCUUUAGUUGAUCUACACGCUGAGGCAAGAAGGAAAAGAGAAGAUGACUUCCAACUCAGGUUUUGGGUUGACGACUCUAGGGAGCUGUAUAGAGAAGGGCUUACAAAACAAAAAAUAUUGGCCAAGAAGGAACUGAGUUUGAACGGGCUACAGGAGCACUACCCUUACAUAUUGGAGAACAUAAAAGCUAGAAAAUGGGAGUGCUUUACUAAGCUGCCGGAAGGUUACAAUGAAAUAAUAGUCGAUGAAUUCUAUGCAUCCUGUGGAGCCUCCAGGACCCCUCACCACAAGCACAACAAAGUGUUCUGUAAUACUGUAUUGGUUCAGGGGAAACAUGUGUUCUGCAGUAGUGAUACCAUUAAUGAGUUCUACUUCCCUGACUGGAGACCGGGCACAGCUAAGUAUGAUGCCAAAUGGGCAAACUGGGAUAAUAAGCAUAACUGGAUAGGGUCAGUGAUAGCCAAGGGGACUCAUGCUUGAAUUGACCCUCUACACAAAAUAUUCAACGAAGAUCUUACACGAGAAAGUCGAUUCUGCCUCAGUUUUGUCACCUCUCGAUUGAUAGUCCCGAAAUGAAACUGACAUAAGCAUUGUGAAAGCUCUUCUCAUUGCGUGCAUUGUGUCUGAAAUAAAGAUUGAUGUAGGUGGUUUCAUCUCCCGAGAGUUAGGGAUCCAGGCUAACCAGGCAGCUACAUCACCUCCAUUCCCAUGCUUGAUCACAACCCUCUAUAAGGUUGUGGAAGUCCCUACAAUGCCACACACUGAGAAGAUGGGAAAACGCUGAAGGAUAUUGAUAUCACGCGCAUUAAUGAUGCAGUAGAUGUAGCUCCCCUAGAGGUUCAGACCCAGAUUCCGGUUGAUAUAGAGCCCUGAGAUUUCCAGUGUUCUAUGUCUUCUCAGGCUACUGUUGCAUCCACGUCCACUCCACAACCCUCUUCUCAGGCCACCAUUGCUCAGCCUUCGGCCACACUGCCAGCUGUUUGGAGGCUUGGUAUCUUAGCUCAACAUGCAAAUUCUAAGGUAGACCAGCUUCUGAAGAACCUCUCCACCCUCACCAAGUAGGCAUUGACUCAUAUCCCGUCCUCAGUGACGACCCUCCAACAACAACAAACAUCUUAUAGGGAUCUCCUGAAGCAUCUUGAGGUGCAGGUUGAAAAGAUAGAGCGGGGUGAGGUUAGUGACUUGCCAAAGCUCCGUGAGGAUGUUUCCACCAUGAAGACUGAGCUCCAUAAAAUGCAAACUCUAGAGUUUGAUCUAUCCUCCUUCAUGCCCAAAGAAAGUGAGCAGAGAGCAGACACAACAGUGAUUGGAUUGGAUGUUGACUUCUCCACAUUGAUGACAAACCUUGCCCCUUAGACAUACGGGGCUUCCCACCGUUCAGCUCCCCCUCUACGUAUUGACAUUCCUUCUGAGGAGGAUUCCGAACGCUCUACAGAUUCCAAAGGUGGGGAGGCAAACAAGGGAGAUACUGAAGAGGAGCCAUAGUCUGAGGAGGAUGAGGGCCCUCGGGAGAAGGUUAAGCAGAUUGCUGCCCCUAUAGUUGCAGAGGAGGAACAAGCAGAUGUUCAGAAGGCAAUUGAACAUUUGCUAGUAGAAAUGAUCGCCCACGCCAUUCCAUCAACCACUCAGCUAGUAGCAGGCGAGGCUAGCAUCUCACAGGCCCCAGCUCCAGUGUCAGGCCAGGCAAAGAUCCCUCCUCCAUCAGUGGAGGUCAUUCCUCAGGCCGAGAUCUCAUCGGUCCUAGCUUCAGCAUCAAAGGGUGACCCCACCAUCAUUCAACCGGCUUCCAACUCCCAUAGCUCUUAGUGCGCCUCAGGGAUCCCCUAAACUCCAUUUUAAAUUCUUAUGCAUUAGGUACAAUGCACGCUUUUAGUUGGGGUGGAAUAGCCUUGUAUAAAUUUUUGUGAGUUAAAUUGUUGUACAUGUUUGUGGGUUAUAUAUGCAAACUUCUAUACAUACUUGUGUUGUGAUUCUGUAUAUAUUUGUGUUUUGUGGUUUUAUUACAUAGGUUAUCCGUGUAUAUGUAAAAAAACUAAAAACAAGUAUAUAAUUGUAUGUUUAUCUUAAGUAAUUAGCAAUGAAUCCCCCUUGGUUUUUCUUCGCCGAGUUCUUUUCCAUGGGUGUAAUAGUAGAACUAGGGCAGUAGAAUGAAACGUUUUGACGGUUUAGUGUAAUUGUCUAGUUUCAAGCAUGUGUUCCUGUAAAUAGCCUAUACCCUUCCACUAAUACAAAAAAAAUAAAAUAGGAUUCAACUGGUUGAACUUGAGGCUCGCUCUGACUCUAUCUCUAUCUAGAGCUAUACAUGUGAAUAUGAUGAAAGCUACGAGUUUCCAAGUGUUGACUUGAGGGCUAAAAACUAUGUUGAGAAAAAUAGUUCGUGUGCCAUGUGUGUGAGUCUUUGUAUAAAUAAUUCUUGUUUCUACUUCUUCCAUUUAGAACUUGCUCGGUUGGUCUUUCGAUGCUUAUGAUAAUUACAUUUUGUUGGAGAAAUGACCUUAGGCAGUCUUUGUGAUUUUGGAAAACCAGUUAGCCUUUCAAGCUACCCAUUGUACAAAUAGUGUCACUAGUUACCCCACUUGAGCCUUUAACCUUUUUUGUGGUUACGUCGGUAUAAACCUUUCUCCUUUUGUAAAAUAAUUCCCGCUUUUGAAUCCGUCCCUCCUUACACAUUGAGAAUGAGGUUAAAAUCCUAAGUUAGGGCUGUGGUGUCAAGCUGAAAAUUGACAAGGUUGUACAGUGAGUAUAGGAAAGUACACCUCGAGGUGUGAAACUACUCAAGCUCCAAAAUCAGAAUAAAAAAAAUAAAAAAACAAAUUUUGCAAGAGAAAAGAAGAAAAAGAAAAGAAAAGAAAAAGGGUUGUAAGUAUAUGUAAAUAUGGAGUCUUGAAGAGAAUUCGAAAGGUAUUUAAGGUGGCUUAAUGUUGGAAAGUAGGAGCUAAUGAGGGCUAUGUGGUUUGAAAAGAAGCAAACAACAACAAGAAAGAAAAACGUGAGUUGUGUUCAAGGAGGGUAUAGUCACUUGUACCCAAAUGCUUAUCUGACCCUUUCCUAAACCUACAUUACAAGCUUAAAAAAUCCUUAUGGGAUCUCCAACUGAACGUUCUUAGAAUAAAGCGAUGAAUUAAAAUAAGGGCAAACUUAUUGUAUGGCAUGUUGUAACACUUGAAACUCUUUGUGAAUCCGUCCCUUUUUGUUGUCAUUGUAAAUAUUAUGAGUGUGGGACUUUCUUUCUAGUGAGGGUCCAUGGAUUGUGAGGUCGGACAAAAGUUGAGUUCUUGAAGUCGAAUGCAAUUGCACUCAGCCGAGAGUAACAUUUUGUCAAAUUGUUCAAGGCUCAAAGUUUCACAAGUUGAUUAGUUUUCCUUGUAAUAACAAUGAUGGUUCAGGAAGGGUAAAUAAAUGAAAGGGCAUGCUUGUAGUACUUACAACUGACACAGUCCGUGAUCACUAUUGUUUCAUAUCGUUUAGAUGAAGUCUAUAAUAGGAUAGUGUCGUUUUAGUUGCUUGAGGACAAGCAAGAGUUUAAAUAGGAGGUGUUGAUGUGCCAGACAAUUUUGGCACAUUUAAUACAAAUUGCUUAGAUUUUAGCUUGUUUUAAAUGUAAUUAUCUUCUAUACUUAUGUAAUUUUAAUGUUUUUGCAGUGUAUGAGGUUUAAGGACCUAAGAGCAUGGAAAUAAAAUCAAAAGGCCAAAAAAGGACAAGAAUAGAGCAAAAUGCAAUCACAUAUGUGAAGACGCGGGCCGCAAAUCUAACAUGCGGACCACAUAAUGCCGAAAGAAAUCGCGGAGUCUAAUAGUUUGCUGGCCAAAUUCAGGUACAAGAAAUGCAAUCCAUUAUAUGACCACAUAAUAGGUUUGCGAGCCACAUAAUGGAUCGCAAACUCGUUAUAGAAGUUGCUGAAGGCGGAAAAUACGAUGCAAAUCGCAAUCGCAAAACAACAAUGCAGACUGCAUAACCUAAGUGCGACG
rnacentral:lncRNA from 1 species